rnacentral:rRNA from 1 species
GGGCGGGGGCACGGGGGGAGAGUUUGAUCCUGGCUCAGGAUGAACGCUGGCGGCGUGCUUAACACAUGCAAGUCGAACGAACCUUCGGGUUAGUGGCGGACGGGUGAGUAACGCGUGGGAAUCUGCCCUCAGGAGGGGGAUAACGGCUGGAAACGGCCGCUAAUACCCCAUAUGCCGAGAGGUGAAAUGAAUUUCGCCUGAGGAUGAGCCCGCGUCUGAUUAGCUAGUUGGUGAGGUAAGAGCUCACCAAGGCAUCGAUCAGUAGCUGGUCUGAGAGGAUGAUCAGCCACACUGGGACUGAGACACGGCCCAGACUCCUACGGGAGGCAGCAGUGGGGAAUUUUCCGCAAUGGGCGAAAGCCUGACGGAGCAACGCCGCGUGAGGGAUGAAGGCCUCUGGGCUGUAAACCUCUUUUCUCAAGGAAGAAGAUCUGACGGUA